rnacentral:lncRNA from 1 species
AUGGCCCCGCCGGGGCUGCGCUCCGCCCGCGCUGUCCGGGCUGCAGGCUCCUGCGGGAGCCAGCCGCGUCCCCACCUUCGGUGUGAAUUUGCUCUCUCUCUUCUUCACACAACCGAACCCCCCCACCCCUUUUUUUUUUCCUUUUUUUUUUUUUUUUUUUUUUCUGUCUCUUUCUGUCUUUUUCAGCUACUUGGGCGUGUUCUCCAAAGGAGGGAGUUGUCCAGCUGGGGGGGGGGAAGAGAGGCGGGGAGGUGGGCAGGAGGGGAACAGGAGCGGCAGAGGGAUCACCUGCCUGCGGGCAGGCUCAGCGCGAUCCUCCUCUUGCGGGCACGGCCCGGGGGAACGCGGCGGGGGCUCCGGGGGGUGUCACCGGGGGACGCCCCCGGGGCUGGCCCCGGCCCGCCGGGCGGCAUUGGUGGCCCGCACCCCGCGCUGCUCCGCGCCGGCAGCGGGGCCGCAGCUUUGACUCCGCGCUCGCCGCCCGCUCGCCGGGGCCGCCGAGCACCUGGGGCCGGUUUUAUGCGUUUGUCCCGACGCUCCUCCCCCCGGUCUGCCUCCCGCGUGUCGCGGGCUGUCCCGCAGCCUCCCGGUCCCCGCGCCGAGCUGAGCCCCGGGCGGCCGCGGCAUUCCCGGAGCGCCGCUCCGCCCGCACCGGGGGCUCGGCGGGGCAGGUGCGGGGGGAGCCGCCGAGGGGGAGCCCCGUGUGCCCGCAGGGACCUCCCCGCCGCUUUUGCGGCCGAUCCUUCGGUGACAGGGCAGGGCUCGGUCCCCGUGGCAGUGGGCGCACGGCCGUGUCCGCGGUCCGAGCCCACGCCGGGGGCGGCCCGGGGGCUGCGGCCGCCCGGGAGCUCCGCGGAGCCGCCCGCCUGCCGCGGGCGGGGGCGCCGGGCCGGCCGGGAAGAGGAUCCCGGCUCCUCGUUGCGGGAAUUUACACGGAUAUGAAACAUUAUGACGGGAUGCCUCAGCGUCCCUCGGAGGAGCCGGGCCAGAGCCCCCCGAGGAGUCGGGCUGGAGCACCUCUCACGGGGCAGCGGCCGGGGCCGCACGGACCCGCUGCUCUCCCGAACCACCCCAGGGGGGUCCGAGCGGGGCGCAGCCGGUCCUGGGGGGUGGGCCAGGUCCGUCCUUGCCGACUUCCCGGGGCAGCGAAGGGGCGUCCCAGUCCAGCUCUCCAUCGCUCCGCAUUCCCCGGUGCGGCCGAUGAUUCCCAUCACCUUGGCGCCCCGCAGCCUCUCCGCGGAGCCGGGCCGUGCUCCCCACUGCGCCCGGAGCCAGCGGGCGGCCCGGCCCCGGCCCGGCCCGGAGUGCGGAGCGAAAUGCGGGGCUGAGGGGGUGCGGGGUGUGGGAGCGCAGGA